AGGGGCGUGAGGACACUUUCCCCAACUAAUCGACGCUGAUGAAACAUAGCUGUAUCUUGUUUACUCAACAUGCCAGAUCUACCUGAUCCCU
rnacentral:snoRNA from 1 species